rnacentral:misc_RNA from 1 species
AUGCUCUUCUUUCCAUUUAGAUGGGUUCAUAGGGUCCUGCCAGAAGUUGACCUUGGGAGGUCCAUGAUGAUCGCCACCACCAGCUAGACCGCGCCGAUGAAUGAGGGAAGCGGCUUGAGGAACUGCAGCAACUCUUGGAAAGGAAAGGCCAGUGAGAUUCGUGGCUUGACGAGCCGCCGCCGUCCAUGCUGCCAUGGUUCUUUAGCCUAGAGAGCGGAAGUUGAGAAAAACUGCGAAAACGAGAAGAAGCAGGUGGCAGGUGGAGAUGAAGAGAGAACUUUUUACCAAACAGCAC